rnacentral:rRNA from 1 species
UACGUAGGGUGCGAGCGUUAAUCGGAAUUACUGGGCGUAAAGCGUGCGCAGGCGGUUCGUCGUGUCCGAUGUGAAAGCCCCGGGCUCAACCUGGGAAUGGCAUUGGAAACUGGCGGACUCGAGUGUGGCAGAGGGGGGUGGAAUUCCGCGUGUAGCAGUGAAAUGCGUAGAUAUCGGGAGGAACACCUGUGGCGAAAGCGGCUCUCUGGACCACAACUGACGCUGAGGCGCGAAAGCUAGGGGAGCAAACAGG